rnacentral:rRNA from 1 species
UACGUAGGGGGCAAGCGUUUGUCCGGAUUUAUUGGGCGUAAAGAGCGUGUAGGCGGCCAAGCAGGUCCGCUGUGAAAACUCGAGGCUCAACCUCGAGACGUCGGUGGAAACCGUUUGGCUAGAGUCCGGAAGAGGAGAGUGGAAUUCCCGGUGUAGCGGUGAAAUGCGCAGAUAUCGUAAGGAAGACCAGUGGCGAAGGCGGGUCUCUGGACAGUUCCUGACACUGAGACACGAAGGCCAGGGGAGCAAACGGG